rnacentral:rRNA from 1 species
UACGUAGGGUGCAAGCGUUGUCCGGAAUCACUGGGCGUAAAGGGCGCGUAGGUGGCGGCCCAAGUCCGUGGUGAAAGUUCGCCGCUUAACGGCGAGUCGGCCACGGAGACUGGGUGGCUCGAGCACUGUAGGGGCAGAUGGAAUUCCGGGUGUAGCGGUGGAAUGCGUAGAGAUCCGGAAGAACACCAGUGGCGAAGGCGGUCUGCUGGGCAGUUGCUGACACUGAGGCGCGACAGCGUGGGGAGCAAACAGG